rnacentral:rRNA from 1 species
UGGGGGAAUUUUGGACAAUGGGGGAAACCCUGAUCCAGCCAUCCCGCGUGUGCGAUGAAGGCCUUCGGGUUGUAAAGCACUUUUGGCAGGAAAGAAACGUCGCGGGUUAAUACCCCGCGAAACUGACGGUACCUGCAGAAUAAGCACCGGCUAACUACGUGCCAGCAGCCGCGGUAAUACGUAGGGUGCAAGCGUUAAUCGGAAUUACUGGGCGUAAAGCGUGCGCAGGCGGUUCGGAAAGAAAGAUGUGAAAUCCCAGAGCUUAACUUUGGAACUGCAUUUUUAACUACCGGGCUAGAGUGUGUCAGAGGGAGGUGGAAUUCCGCGUGUAGCAGUGAAAUGCGUAGAUAUGCGGAGGAACACCGAUGGCGAAGGCAGCCUCCUGGGAUAACACUGACGCUCAUGCACGAAAGCGUGGGGAGCAAACAGGAUUAGAUACCCUGGUAGUCCACGCCCCUAAACGAUGUCAACUAGCUGUUGGGGGCCUUCGGGCCUUGGUAGCGCAGCUAACGCGUGAAGUUGACCGCCUGGGGAGUNCGGUCGCAAGAUUAAAACUUAAAUGAAUUGACGGGGGUCAUAGCUGUUUUCCCU